rnacentral:rRNA from 1 species
CAGUCGAGCGACGGAUAGGAGCUUGCUCCUUUGAAGUUAGCGGCGGACGGGUGAGUAACACGUGGGUAACCUACCUAUAAGACUGGAAUAACUUCGGGAAACCGGAGCUAAUGCCGGAUAACAUUUGGAACCGCAUGGUUCUAAAGUAAAAGAUGGUUUUGCUAUCACUUAUAGAUGGACCCGCGCCGUAUUAGCUAGUUGGUAAGGUAACGGCUUACCAAGGCAACGAUACGUAGCCGACCUGAGAGGGUGAUCGGCCACACUGGAACUGAGACACGGUCCAGACUCCUACGGGAGGCAGCAGUAGGGAAUCUUCCGCAAUGGACGAAAGUCUGACGGAGCAACGCCGCGUGAGUGAUGAAGGUUUUCGGAUCGUAAAACUCUGUUAUUAGGGAAGAACAAAUGUGUAAGUAACUGUGCACAUCUUGACGGUACCUAAUCAGAAAGCCACGGCUAACUACGUGCCAGCAGCCGCGGUAAUACGUAGGUGGCAAGCGUUAUCCGGAAUUAUUGGGCGUAAAGCGCGCGUAGGCGGUUUCUUAAGUCUGAUGUGAAAGCCCACGGCUCAACCGUGGAGGGUCAUUGGAAACUGGGAAACUUGAGUACAGAAGAGGAAAGUGGAAAUUCCAUGUGUAGCGGUGAAAUGCGCAGAGAUAUGGAGGAACACCAGUGGCGAACGCGACUUUCUGGUCUGUAACUGACGCUGAUGUGCGAAAGCGUGGGGAUCAACCAGGAUUAGAUACCCUGGUAGUCCACGCCGUAACGAUGA